rnacentral:misc_RNA from 1 species
AAGACUAUAGACCUGCGGAGUACCUGCGGAGGGAUCAUUACUGGGUUGGACGUACGUCCGCUACCCGCCCUCUGUCAUCUUGUACUGAAUGUUUCGGCCUUCGGGUCGGCAGCACUCUGUAGAAACCUGAAGUCUGAAUCUUUGAUAAUAGAAAAAAACUUUUAACAACGGAUCUCU